CACGGGGGUCUGCCCUGCCUCUGAGCUGAGGUGGCUUCCCCACAGCGUGUCCUGGUCCGAAACACACCUUGGAUAGCGUCAUGCCUUCCUUCCCCCGUCCCUUCCUUGUUUGAUGUACAAAACUGCGCUCAGCAGCAGGAGGGAAAGGUGUUUUUGUCCUGAUGUCAGACUCAUGAGAUCUGGUCUCGUGUUUGAAAGUAAGGUUCAGGUUCCUUCAUUUUAUAGUCUCUCAUUCUGUAGAGUUACAACAGCAAAAUGAAAGUUAACAGCUUGGAAGAAGCCAAGCUCAUCUAGAAGUCAAAACAUCACCAUAUGUUAGUACUGCAACACAUGCGAUGUAGACAAAUUUCAUAUUGCUGUGAGUCUUAAAUCCUAAUCUCCAGCAUACAUGGACCUACCCAGCACUCCAACUGCUUCUGAAAAAUGGCUGGUUUCCAGUCUUUGUUACUUUAUUUGCAGAACACCGUGACAGAUCUCAGCUAGGAGUGGAAAAAAAAUGUUAACUUGGCAAGUUUUUGAGGAGCUUAGAUAACGUUUGUGUAAGUCUUUGAAGAUGAAGGUUCAGCCAGUGCAGCAACCAGACAGACUGGAUACUGAGGGCGAGGAGGAAAUGUCUUCAAAAGGAUGGAGCCUGGAUGACUAGCUCUGAUUGAGGAGCAGACUUUUGGAUGGCUACAGUUCAGAUGGGUUCCCUCAUAAAUGGCACAUUAAAAUCUCUAAAAGCAGUUCAUGGGGUGGCUACAGUGCAGUGCUGUGUAACAGAUGAUACAAACAAAAAGACUGAAUGUUUCACGGGGAGUUUCACAGCAGGAGCCUAAAAUCUUUACUGAAUUACAGUGGAAAGGAGUGUAUAUGUAAAGGUAAGGUAUAUUAAUUUGUUACUGUGGCCUUAAGUAGCCUUUCAUUCCAGAAUCACAUUGACUUGCUAAGGCUGCAGCCAUAAAGUGUUCCUAGUGAACAAUAGUCAUAUGCUGCCAUGCUUGAAUUCACAUACAGCCAAGGCAGUUCAAACCCCACCAAACCUGUUCAGAGAUAAAUAAACUACAAAUAAUAACCUAAAGGAAACACUUUGAUGUCUGUUUGGUAUACAGUAUUUAAGACACGUGAACAGGAGAAAGAUGCUUUUUCAUCACUGCCUUGUAAUAUUCUAAAGUAAUGUAUGCUGGACUAGGUGACUCAUGAUCUGAAGUCUCCAUAGCCCAGCACUCAGUGCAUCAGUCUGAGAAGUGUACCAAUUAAAGCAGGAGUGAAGCAUUAUGUGUGUGUAGCAUAGCUGUGUGCGCUUCCUGGGAUUUGGGUGUCUGGUAUGUCAUGAGUUUCAGCCCUGCAUUUGGUGGAUUAGAGGUAAUUUCUUUAAACAAUAACAGAAAUUGUAUACUUAAUCCAAUACACAUGAUGCAAAAGCACGUACUUAAGUGGAAAAUGCUGUGGUCUCAUUAGGACUGUGUGCUGUCAACUCUCAUAAAAUGAUUGCACUAAAAGGUAUUGGUUUAUAUUGUAGCUACAGAAGACACAGUCCUGUAAGAUGACAUGCCACCAACUUUAUAGAUGGAAAAUCUCGUUCUGCUCCUCUGUAAUUUAUAACAAGGAAGCCAUUAACAUAUGCAAAGAGGUGAAGAAAACAAAAACUUCCAUGUCCUGGGAGAUUUCUCUCUGCUUGUACUUUAGGCUUUAUAGCCAUUUGAGCUGUGAGGAUGUUUCUUUAUAAAAAUCCUUUUUCUUGAAAUUUUCAAUAUGCCUAUGAUGAGUGCAAGUAUCUGAGAUGAGCCAGAUGAUGGGUCAUUAGUUGAAACAUUAAUUAUGGACAGUCAAUCCUUCACUCUUUAGUCCUCUUUUAUUUAUGUGCUACUGUGUUUUGGGUGUAGCACUUGGUUAAUGUGAGGAGAAAAUGACAGGCCAUGUUUUAAGAUUGAGCCCAGCUUUUUAGUUUGUUACUGGAAGACUAAAAUUGUUGUCACGUAUCUCUUCUAUGGCUUAGUUAAAUGGUUUUAUAUUUUAAAAAACACUUAAGUGUUUUUUACAGUUUCUGUGUGAAGGGAUUUCAAAUACUUUCUCUUUCAGCUAAAAGGCUAAUACAGAAUUCUGUGAUACAUGAUUAGUUUUUCCCUCAUGCUGCAAAAGUUUUAGGUUUUUAGUCUUCAACUUCUUUAUGAACCACAUCAUUCUUUUGUUUUAAAUGGCCAACUACUUAUUUAAUAUAAUUGAAAACAAUCUUCUUUCUUAUGUUUACUGCUGUAUCAAAUGCAGGUUUGUUUUCAUAUUAGAUUUGUAUUACUGCAAUAUUCAAACCCAGUAAUUGCUAGUUUGAAAUGUGCAUCUCCUACUAGAAUUUGUCCUUUUCUUAGUCACCUUUCUUGAGGUAAACAGAUCUAGUAAGAGCAAACAUGAAGAGGGUAUCAUGUAAUGAAUCUCCUGCUUCCUGUUGUUGAACCUGGACAUGGGUGAACUUGAAGGACUGAAGCUUAGAAGGGCAGAUUGGCAAAGUCCUCUGCUCAGUUCUGAAGUCUGGGAUGUACUGAAAGGUAUUUUCUAGCAAUUACUGACAAAGUGAUGUGCAAAAGAGGCUUAAAGAGGAAAACAUGCUUCUGAGCAGAAGAAUGUUCAUACAGGAGAAAAAAAUUAUAAAUCAAAUUAAAUGUGUAUUUAAAAAAACCAAAACCUUAUCUGUUUCUACUUAGUAUUUAAACAACUACAUUAUUAAGACUACACUACUGGAAAUAACAUUCUUUACCUUUUUUUUGUAUGUACUUAUCACAGAUUUUACAGAUUAGAAUAUACAAGAUAAAUCUCCCCUUAGGAGACUAAGAAUAUUAAAUCUGUUAAAUAAAACACCAUUGCAGAUGUGAAACAGGUUCUGAUUUAACAUGCAUCUCUAUGGAAAACAUUUAAACAUUUCUGUACUCUCUCUCUCUCAUAUAUAUCUAUAUAGAUAGAGAUACACAUAUAGAUAUGUGUUUAUAUAUAUAAACACCACCUUAAAUCACCACUUUUGGGCUUUCUGAUUACCAAAAAUUCUCAAAGCAUGGCUGUAUAUACAGGUAUAUACAAUUUAUUGUGAAUCUGAGUUUUUCAGUCACAAACACUAUUUUAGUAGUGCAUUUUAAUAGAAGAACAUCUGCACUCAGGUAAUCUGACCAGCAGAUGUAAUCUAACAUUUGCAAUUAUGAUUUUUGCAUGUUAUGAAAAUAAUGGGUUUAUGCCUUAUUAAUGCUUAAGGUUCAUCCCUUCUGUUUCUGUAAAUAUUCCUUUUCCACAUAAAGCAACAAUAUUCUAGUCCAGGGAACAUUAUUGAGACAAGUUGAUUCUGUUUCCAAGUGCCCUGAUUUGUAAUCUUGCAGAAAUACAUUUCUGAAUAUAUAUAUAUAUAUAUAUUUUUUUUUUUUUUUACUACUGUGAUCCUACAACAAGGUUUACUACAGUUCUUAGCGGCAUAAACAGAAGAACAUCAACAGCAGAAGCAGAUGAAUUGUGUAGGGCAUUGAUGGAACCUUAUUGAAAAUAUUCAGUGAAAAAGCUCUAGAAAUAGUGACAGUAGAAAAUGUAUCACUGGUACGUGUUUAGAAUCUAUUUUAGGCUGGCUUAUUCAAAGAAGAUACCAUAAUAUGCAGCUGAACCUGAGAAUAUUUAGAAGGCUGGAAAGGAGUGUGUUCAUCACGGAGGAGUACACCCAAUAAUAACCUACUUGCUGGGGGAUGAUUAGAUACUACUUUAAAGUUUGUCUACUGUUUAUGUCUCAAAUUCAAAACCAGUAUUUCUGUUCUGUAAAUAGACAAGCUACAGCACAAGGUACUGUAAUAAUUUUUCUAUUUCUCCCAGUUCCUAUGGGAAUAAUUUUUUUCUUGCCUUCUGCCUUUCUUCCUUCUAGAAAGGUCUGAGUACAUGUUUAAUGCACUAGCCUUAAUUUAAAAAGAGAUGUGAUAGUUAGCAUUAAUAAGAAUACAUAAUUUGAAAGCAAAGUAAAAACAUUUUUUGCAAGAUUCCUUUUCUAGUUGCAUUACUCCAAAAGAAUUACUUAAAUCAAAGAACGUAUUAUGUCUUGGUGUUUACUUAAACCAAGAGUCAGGUCCUUUGUUAAAAUUGGUAUGACUCAAAUUCUUAACUUGCUGAAAGAAAUGCAGAAUUUAAAUUUUAGCUAAUUAUUUUAAGGAAGUGCCUAGACAUCCUAAAUGAGACCAGAAGAAUUUUCUUUUCAAGCUGUAUGUGAUACGUGGAAUACGACAUCAGGGGUAUAAGGACAGAAUUGUAAAGUCAGGUUUAAGAGAAUUUAAACAAAGCUAUUUCUCUGUACAACUGCACUAAAUUAAAAUGUGUAUCUGAAGCAUCAUGAGUAAGGAGACAAUAAUAGUGCUGAAAAAAGCAUUGCUUGAGACAUAUAUAUGUACAAAAUAAAAAAUAAGAAUUAAUUAUAAAAGUGGAAAUGCUUUUGGUUAGACUUCCCCCAAAAGGGUAUCACUCCAUGUAUUCUUGGUCCUCUAUCAAAUGCCUGUUCACAUUCUAGUCCACUUUAUUAAUCCUUCCUUUUUCCUCCCAUAAUACUCUGCUUCUUUUCUGUUUAGUUGUUGCCAGUUUGCUUGUUUACAUAGCAUUCCAUACGAAAUACCUCACAACAUUUUGUACUUCAUGCCUAAAGAAUUCCCCCUUAAAUGGAGCAAUUCUUUAAUAUUAUCAAAAGCAUGCUAAACACAACAGGUUAAGACAAGAAAUGAAGACUACAACUAAUACUGCAGAAAAAAAAUCUGUGUAGGCAGCAGUCACCACAGAUGGGAUUCAUUCAGUAUACAGCUCUUAGUUCUACCACCCACAUAAUCCCCAUUAUCAUUUCCUACCAAACACACUUCAUUAGCUCUGAAGAAAUCUCUAUUGUCUCUCCCAGCAGAUCACUGAAGGUACUGUCAUGAUAUGGAUAUAAAAGUUAAAGGUCAUAUCAAUUAAAAAGCAUUCCUUUAUAAUCCUUUAGAAGGUCAUAAUAAUUAAACAUAUUUUCAUUUGAUGACAACCAGUAAUAUUUGAUGAGCCCCAACCAAUUUUAUCCUUUAUAAGUAAAAGUAUUCUUCCUGCUAGUACUGAGCAUUAGGAUAUCAUCAUUGUGGUUCUCCCUGUUCCCUAUUUGUUUGUCCAUUUGUCCCAAUUAAUUAAGUGAUAGCAUAAACUCAAACAAGUGAUAUGCUGUCCCAGAGGAAGGAAGCAAGGCUCUGCCUUUGCUGGAGCACAAGCUGUCAUUCCUGAUUUCUGUACAGGGUGGAGUUGUGCAUUCUUUUUAUUGCUCCAGCUGUUGACACUGAUGACAGUUCUUCCAGGAGAGACAGUGCUUUGAUCAUGUGCAAGGAGGAACCUUGCACUGCCCUGUUAUAAGGGACACAACGACUUAGGGAACUUGACUGAGUAAAUGGGAGGGUAGAAAUUCUGAUUCUUCUGCCCUUUUUCUGCAACCCCCCUUCCCUCUCAACUGCUGUGCUAUCAUCUAGUUAUAAAGCAGCUUUGCUGUAAACAGAAUCAGAUGGGUCCAAAUUAAAAUGGCAGAAAAAUCCAACAAGUGCUUGUUGUGUUAUUUUAGAGGGGGGGAAACCCAUAAAAUUAUGCAAAAUCACCUGAUCUGAUUCACAAAUAACUGUAUCAACACAACUUUGAGGAGCAAGGCACUGCAGUGUAAGGGUGCAAACUCUGCAAGCUGGUGUAGCUGCCAGAAUACUCAUACUGUUAAACCACAACCAAAGACAGAAUUUAAUUAAAACAUCUAAAUCAUCCAUUCUUGUGGUGGUCAGUUCAUUUUGGAUUAGGACAGAAUAAUUGUUUCCAAGUACUUUGCCUGCAGCAGUGGAGUAGACUACAUAAGACUGUCUUAUUUAUGAGAUUUUAAUAAAUUACCAAAUCAGCCAUGUGGCUUUAUGUUCUUAAAAAUAGUAGCUGCUAAAUGUUAGUUGCUAAAGGUCAUGGAAUUAUAGUUUGAAGAGUUUGCUGUUCAAGCACUAUCGUGUCACUUCUUGUUCCUCCAUUUAAUGAAUUGUUAACUAACAUAUUUAAUGCCUCGGGGACUCUCCAUCUCACUAUUCUUUCCUUCCCAGUAACUUCACAGAUUUCUUUGAAUGAAACAAUGCAAGUUUCACACAUUGAUUUCCUCUGUUUCAGUUCAGCCAGCUGGUGAUGAUGUCACACACAAGCACCUGUGUCUAACAAGCACCUGAUUCUGUUCCUUCCUUAAGGACUGAAAGCACAAGACACACCAACAUACCAGCUCUGAAUCUACCAGCUCUUUGUACUACAAACACUGGAUUGCUAUCAUGAUUCAGAUAAACAGGAGACUUGUUCAGCUGUUUUAGUUACUUUGGAUCAUUUCCUGCAGCUUUACUCAUCCUCCCAAUUAACAUGAAUACACAUUUGGGUUUUUUCCAAGUUAGCCAUUAAGGAGGUUAAGUAGGUUGGGCCUUGUGACUAAUGUUUCCUUGGCUCUGACUUUAUUUUGCUGCUCCCCUAGAGUAUUCUAUCAUACUUUAUUAGCAGGCAGGAGAAAUUCUGAGAUUCCUAAUUGUAGGACAGAACUUGAAAUGUUCUAGAAAUUUCCAAGCUCCAAAAUGUAAUACCAGUUGCAACCAAGACCCAGCAUGGAGGGCCAAAACCAGAAGUACUUGUACUAUAAAAAGACAUGUUGCAUUAGCAUUGUCAUCAUGAAUAAAGUUAUCUACUGCUGAGCUUUCAUGUUCUGUAUUGAUUAUAAAAAAAAGUUACAAGUGCCACAACAAAACUUAGUGAAAAGGAUGCUGCAGUAAUUGGAUGAGGUUCUUCAACACCUAAAGAUGUUUGUUGUUUCACUAACAUAGUAAAGGUAGUGAACAGGUUUUGUCACUGCCUCAUCACAGGCAACAAAUUAAGAAUGCAGUUGCUUAACUAUUUUACUCCAUAAAGUUUAAAUGCAAUCCUGUUUUAGAAAUGUCAGCAAUAUAAAGAGGCAGCAGCUGAAGGAAAGCAACAUGAUCCAUCAAUGUGCAGUAAGCAUAUCCCUCACCACAGUUUAGUUGUGAAUCACGAUGAGUAUUACAUCCAUGGAUUAAUGUCCUGAUCUUACAUAGUCAUUUGCAUAGCAAAUGAGUUUGUUCAAGAGCUGAGUAUGUCUGUUUAGACACUUACCUGUAACAAGAAAAUAUUUUUGUUUUAAGUUAGCUUUGGAAAUCAACUUAGCAAAAUUACUAAAAAAAGAAGAAAGGCACAUAUUCUAAAAUAAAGAGUAUUCACUUCAAGGGUGGGUACUCCUUGAAAUGUCUGUGUACCUAGGGCUAUGCUCCAGGUCUAGUGCUGCAAUGAAAAUUGAUUACUCUUUCCACACCUCAUUGUAGAUAUGAAAUGGCUCUUACAAUGCCUUAGUUUGCUUUCCUCUAUUGUGUUUUACAUUACUUCAGCACAGAGAAGCAGGAAGUAUAGAUAGUACUACAGUUUACAUGUUAUGGGUGUGUUGAUUUCUGCUUUCGAGUCAAGCCACUGACUGAAUUUCUUCCUUCUGUAUGCUACUCAAUUAAAAAACCAAAACAAAACAUCUAUUCAAACAUAAACACCAGUCUUACUUCCUCUUGUCUUUUGCAGAUGUUUGUGUUAAGGAUCACAAAGGAACUAAUAUUCUGUAGCUUUCAUAGACAUUCCUGACAGAGAAGCACCAAUGGAAGAACCAGUUGCAUGUGGCAUUUUUUUCAGUAGAAAUUUUAAUUUUUGUAACCCAGACACUGCUGCCCAUAUGUACUUUCUUUCCCUACUAGAAAAUAAAGCAAUCACAUAGAAAUGUUAAGACUUGAAGUGAGUGAGGUUUACCUAGAAGUGCAGUGAAGUGUGCUCCAAGGGCAGGUCAGCAGUUCUUCUUGCCUUCCAACCCAGGAGAUCAGAAGAGCAUGUUGAUGUACCUCAGUGACAAUGGUCUGGCUAAGGUGAAGCAAAUCCUGCAGUGAUUAAUAUGUUUUUCCUGAUAUGUUUGCCUGAGCUCUGUAAUUGAAAAUUCCUAAAGCAGGUCAUUUGAAGUAUGUGUAGUAUCUUAGGAACUAUAACUUGGUGAUCAUAAAUUUGCAUUACAAAUGCUCUUAUAGCUCCUUACUUGGCAUAAAUUUUCAAUCUGAACUGCUUAUUAAGUAUACCACAACUCAUUCACCCUGUAAUUACUACUGGCUUAAUAUCUGUUCAUUUAAGUUCCAUUUUCUUCUAGUUUUUAUUCUCUAUUCCUUUCUGUUGGAUAUUUUUGAUUUUAUGUAAAAAAAAUAAAUCUAGGAGUUCUUUAGAUUUCUCAUUCAUUUUUCUGUGGUGAGGAAA